rnacentral:rRNA from 1 species
CACGUAGUUAGCCGGGGCUUCUUAGUCAGGUACCGUCCUCCUUCUUCCCUGCCGAUAGGGCUUUACGCGCCGAAACGCUCCUUCACCCACGCGGCGUCGCUGCAUCAGGGUUCCCCCCAUUGUGCAAUAUCCCCCACUGCUGCCUCCCGUAGGAGUCUGGGCCGUGUCUCAGUCCCAGUGUGGCCGUCCGCCCUCUCGGGCCGGCUACUGAUCGUCGCCUUGGUAGGCCGUUACCCUGCCAACCAGCUAAUCAGACGCGGGCCCAUCCUGUACCACCGGAGUUUUCAGGGGGGUGCCAUGCGGCUCCCCCCGUUAUGCGGUAUUAGCACCUAUUUCUAAGUGUUGUCCCCCUGUACAGGGCAGGUUGCCCACGCGUUACUCACCCGUCCGCCACUCAUGCACGGGGCUUCCGGCCGGAGCCUUCCAUCCCGUACACCCGUUCGACUUGCAUGUGUUAGGCACGCCGCCAGCGUUCAUCCUGAGCCAGGAUCAAACUCU